rnacentral:rRNA from 1 species
GAUGAACGCUGGCGGCGUGCUUAACACAUGCAAGUCGAACGGGGCAUUAAAGUGGAAGUUUUCGGAUGGAAGUUUUAAUGCUUAGUGGCGGACGGGUGAGUAACGCGUGGGUAACCUGCCCUGCACUGGGGGAUAACACCUGGAAACAGGUGCUAAUACCGCAUAAGCGCACAGGACCGCAUGGUCCGGUGUGAAAAACUCCGGUGGUGCAGGAUGGACCCGCGUCUGAUUAGGUAGUUGGCGGGGUAACGGCCCACCAAGCCGACGAUCAGUAGCCGGCCUGAGAGGGUGGACGGCCACAUUGGGACUGAGACACGGCCCAG